rnacentral:rRNA from 1 species
CGUGCCUAAUACAUGCAAGUCGAACGCAUUGUGGUUGAAAUGAUAUGAAGAACUUGUUCAGAUUUGAUUUUCAACAUUGCAAUGAGUGGCGAACGGGUGAGUAACACGUGGGAAACCUACCUCUUAGCAGGGGAUAACAUUUGGAAACAAAUGCUAAUACCGUAUAAUAAUUAAAACCGCAUGGUUUUAGUUCAAAAGAUGGUCUUGCUAUCACUAAGAGAUGGUCCCGCGGUGUAUUAGUUAGUUGGUGAGGUAAUGGCUCACCAAGACAAUGAUACAUAGCCGAGUUGAGAGACUGACCGGCCACAAUGGGACUGAGACACGGCCCAUACUCCUACGGGAGGCAGCAGUAGGGAAUCUUCCACAAUGGACGAAAGUCUGAUGGAGCAACGCCGCGUGUGUGAUGAAGGGUUUCGGCUCGUAAAACACUGUUGUAAGAGAAGAAUGACAUUGAGAGUAACUGUUCAAUGUGUGACGGUAUCUUACCAGAAAGGAACGGCUAAAUACGUG